GUGCUCAUUUCUGCAGCACAUAUACUAAAAUUAAAAUGAUACAGAGAAGGUUAGCAUGGCUCCUGUGCAAAGAUAACACACAAAUUCAUGAAGCGUUCCAUAUUUCU